GUUUACGGUCAUAUCACGUUGAAAGUACCGGUUUUCGUCCGAUCACCGAAGUUAAGCAACGUCGAGCCUAGUGAGUACUUAGAUGGGUGACUGCUUAGGAAACCUUGGUACUGUAAGCG
rnacentral:rRNA from 1 species